UAACCGGCGAUUUCCGAAUGGGGAAACCCAGUGUGAUUCGUCACACUAUCAUUAACUGAAUCCAUAGGUUAAUGAGGCGAACCGGGGGAACUGAAACAUCUAAGUACCCCGAGGAAAAGAAAUCAACCGAGAUUCCCCCAGUAGCGGCGAGCGAACGGGGAGCAGCCCAGAGCCUGAAUCAGUGUGUGUGUUAGUGGAAGCGUCUGGAAAGGCGCGUGAUACAGGGUGACAGCCCCGUACACAAAAAUGCACAUGCUGUGAGCUCGAUGAGUAGGGCGGGACACGUGGUAUCCUGUCUGAAUAUGGGGGGACCAUCCUCCAAGGCUAAAUACUCCUGACUGACCGAUAGUGAACCAGUACCGUGAGGGAAAGGCGAAAAGAACCCCGGCGAGGGGAGUGAAAAAGAACCUGAAACCGUGUACGUACAAGCAGUGGGAGCACGCUUAGGCGUGUGACUGCGUACCUUUUGUAUAAUGGGUCAGCGACUUAUAUUCUGUAGCAAGGUUAACCGAAUAGGGGAGCCGAAGGGAAACCGAGUCUUAACUGGGCGUUAAGUUGCAGGGUAUAGACCCGAAACCCGGUGAUCUAGCCAUGGGCAGGUUGAAGGUUGGGUAACACUAACUGGAGGACCGAACCGACUAAUGUUGAAAAAUUAGCGGAUGACUUGUGGCUGGGGGUGAAAGGCCAAUCAAACCGGGAGAUAGCUGGUUCUCCCCGAAAGCUAUUUAGGUAGCGCCUCGUGAAUUCAUCUCCGGGGGUAGAGCACUGUUUCGGCAAGGGGGUCAUCCCGACUUACCAACCCGAUGCAAACUGCGAAUACCGGAGAAUGUUAUCACGGGAGACACACGGCGGGUGCUAACGUCCGUCGUGAAGAGGGAAACAACCCAGACCGCCAGCUAAGGUCCCAAAGUCAUGGUUAAGUGGGAAACGAUGUGGGAAGGCCCAGACAGCCAGGAUGUUGGCUUAGAAGCAGCCAUCAUUUAAAGAAAGCGUAAUAGCUCACUGGUCGAGUCGGCCUGCGCGGAAGAUGUAACGGGGCUAAACCAUGCACCGAAGCUGCGGCAGCGACGCUUAUGCGUUGUUGGGUAGGGGAGCGUUCUGUAAGCCUGUGAAGGUGUACUGUGAGGUAUGCUGGAGGUAUCAGAAGUGCGAAUGCUGACAUAAGUAACGAUAAAGCGGGUGAAAAGCCCGCUCGCCGGAAGACCAAGGGUUCCUGUCCAACGUUAAUCGGGGCAGGGUGAGUCGACCCCUAAGGCGAGGCCGAAAGGCGUAGUCGAUGGGAAACAGGUUAAUAUUCCUGUACUUGGUGUUACUGCGAAGGGGGGACGGAGAAGGCUAUGUUGGCCGGGCGACGGUUGUCCCGGUUUAAGCGUGUAGGCUGGUUUUCCAGGCAAAUCCGGAAAAUCAAGGCUGAGGCGUGAUGACGAGGCACUACGGUGCUGAAGCAACAAAUGCCCUGCUUCCAGGAAAAGCCUCUAAGCAUCAGGUAACAUCAAAUCGUACCCCAAACCGACACAGGUGGUCAGGUAGAGAAUACCAAGGCGCUUGAGAGAACUCGGGUGAAGGAACUAGGCAAAAUGGUGCCGUAACUUCGGGAGAAGGCACGCUGAUAUGUAGGUGAAGUCCCUCGCGGAUGGAGCUGAAAUCAGUCGAAGAUACCAGCUGGCUGCAACUGUUUAUUAAAAACACAGCACUGUGCAAACACGAAAGUGGACGUAUACGGUGUGACGCCUGCCCGGUGCCGGAAGGUUAAUUGAUGGGGUUAGCGCAAGCGAAGCUCUUGAUCGAAGCCCCGGUAAACGGCGGCCGUAACUAUAACGGUCCUAAGGUAGCGAAAUUCCUUGUCGGGUAAGUUCCGACCUGCACGAAUGGCGUAAUGAUGGCCAGGCUGUCUCCACCCGAGACUCAGUGAAAUUGAACUCGCUGUGAAGAUGCAGUGUACCCGCGGCAAGACGGAAAGACCCCGUGAACCUUUACUAUAGCUUGACACUGAACAUUGAGCCUUGAUGUGUAGGAUAGGUGGGAGGCUUUGAAGUGUGGACGCCAGUCUGCAUGGAGCCGACCUUGAAAUACCACCCUUUAAUGUUUGAUGUUCUAACGUGGACCCGUAAUCCGGGUUGCGGACAGUGUCUGGUGGGUAGUUUGACUGGGGCGGUCUCCUCCUAAAGAGUAACGGAGGAGCACGAAGGUUGGCUAAUCCUGGUCGGACAUCAGGAGGUUAGUGCAAUGGCAUAAGCCAGCUUGACUGCGAGCGUGACGGCGCGAGCAGGUGCGAAAGCAGGUCAUAGUGAUCCGGUGGUUCUGAAUGGAAGGGCCAUCGCUCAACGGAUAAAAGGUACUCCGGGGAUAACAGGCUGAUACCGCCCAAGAGUUCAUAUCGACGGCGGUGUUUGGCACCUCGAUGUCGGCUCAUCACAUCCUGGGGCUGAAGUAGGUCCCAAGGGUAUGGCUGUUCGCCAUUUAAAGUGGUACGCGAGCUGGGUUUAGAACGUCGUGAGACAGUUCGGUCCCUA
rnacentral:rRNA from 1 species